GCUGAAGUGGUGGAAUUGGUAGACACGUUGGACUUAAAAUCCAAUGCCUAUUUUUGGCGUGCGGGUUCAAGUCCCGCCUUCAGUA
rnacentral:tRNA from 1 species